rnacentral:rRNA from 1 species
UACAGAGGGUGCAAGCGUUUGUUCGGAAUUAUUGGGCGUAAAGCGCGUGUAGGCGGCUUUGCAAAUCGCGUGUGAAAUCCCUCGGCUUAACCGAGGAAGUGCGCGCGAAACUGCAGAGCUUGAGUACCGGAGAGGAUGGUGGAAUUCCCCAAGUAGAGGUGAAAUUCGUAGAUAUGGGGAGGAACACCGGUGGCGAAGGCGACCAUCUGGACGGAUACUGACGCUGAGACGCGAAAGCGUGGGGAGCAAACAGGG